rnacentral:rRNA from 1 species
UACUCGUGGAAGACUGCUGGGGUCAACUCGGAGGAAGGUGGGGACGACGUCAAGUCAUCAUGCCCCUUACGUCCAGGGCUGCAAACACGCUACAAUGGCCGGUACAAAGGGCUGCGAACCCGCGAGGGUAAGCCAAUCCCACAAAGCCGGUCUCAGUUCGGAUUGAAGGCUGCAACUCGCCUUCAUGAAGCUGGAGUUGCUAGUAAUCCCGGAUCAGCACGCGCGGGGUGAAUACGUUCCCGGGCCUUGUACACACCGCCCGUCACACCACGAAGUCGGCAACACCCGAAGCCGGU